GAUUUGAGGAGCUUGCUCUUCAAGUUAGUGGCGCACGGGUGAGUAACGCGUAGAUAAUCUGCCUGACGAUCCGGGAUAACACUUCGAAAGGGGUGCUAAUACCGGAUAAGCCCACGUGGUCUUUGGAUCGUGCGGGAAAAGGGGGGGACCUUCGGGCCUUCUGUCGUCAGAUGAGUCUGCGUACCAUUAGCUAGUUGGUAGGGUAAAGGCCUACCAAGGCUACGAUGGUUAGCUGGUCUGAGAGGAUGAUCAGCCACACUGGAACUGAGACACGGUCCAGACUCCUACGGGAGGCAGCAGUGGAGAAUUUUGCGCAAUGGGCGAAAGCCUGACGCAGCAACGCCGCGUGAGUGAUGAAGGCUUUCGGGUCGUAAAGCUCUGUCGAGGGGAAAGAAGUGUAUUGUGGCUAAUAUCCACGAUACUUGACGGUACCCCUAAAGGAAGCACCGGCUAACUCCGUGCCAGCAGCCGCGGUAAUACGGGGGGUGCAAGCGUUGUUCGGAAUUAUUGGGCGUAAAGAGCGUGUAGGCGGUUUGUUUAGUCUGAUGUGAAAGCCCUGGGCUCAACCCAGGAAGUGCAUUGGAUACUGGCAGACUUGAAUACGGGAGAGGGUAGUGGAA
rnacentral:rRNA from 1 species